rnacentral:lncRNA from 1 species
GGGAGGAGAGAAGGAAGCAGAGGUUGCGGGGUGGUUGGCAGUGACAGUGACUGAUGUGUGGUUGUUCCUCGGCGGCGUUCUCAGCAGCACGCCCUGGCAAGCCGCUGUUCUACUUGCUUUCAUCACUGUCAUUUUUCCUUUCGGCCGAAGCAUCAUCAAUACCGCACCAAUGUGUUCCCUUUUCAAAGAGCGGCUGUGACUGGACAUGGCUUUGCUUACUGAGCAGAUAAGCUUUUGUGAGUAUCGCAGAGCCAAGGCUGGAUGCAUUCUUCUUCUGACUCUGUACCAUGGCUAUGGCAGCAUCCAAAGAAGAAACCUCCUCACACAGCAGGGAUACAGGUUUAACACUCAUUUAGGCUGGGAUCAAGCGGGAUCCCUCUCAGGGAGAAUAGCUCUCAACAAAUAAAGUCUUGCAAAGCAGGAUUUCUGCAAAAUGGAUUUCCUGCAAGGAAAACUCUAACCCUGUGCUCACUGUACUCAUGCAGACCACUCUGCUGGGACGGGAGGACUUCAGUGCUACCCUUUCUGGGAUGCUCACCAGAAAAAUGCAAAGACCAGUAAGAAACAAGUGAAAAAUUGAGUAGAAAUGGAAAAGAAAUGUAAAUCACUCAGGUUUAGGUAAGAAGGGUUAGCAGGAGGGUGCAGCCUAAAAGGGAUGGAGUAUUCAGAGAAAGAGCAGCAGCAAAGCUUGAGGUUGUUGCUCUACGCACAACAAAAAAUGACUACAAGAGACACCUACAGGACUGCUAUUUGAAAUGGAAAGUCUGAAUAAAAUAAUGCUGUAGCAAUUAGGAUAAUCUAAU